AUCUGAGGUCGAGCUCAUAGUGCUCGGAGACCCCAAGCGUCCUGUUCUAGUUCGCUCGUGGCCUCGUUUCUUUUCGGCGGGGCCGUGGCCGGGCCAGCUCUGCGCAACUCUCGUCUUGCAAGAAGGAAACGACGCUCAGACAGGCAUGCCCGCCGGAAUGCCGACGGGCGCAAUGUGCGUUCAAGAACUCGAUGAUUCACGAUGGCUGCAAUUCACACUAGGUAUCGCAUUUCGCUGCGCUCUUCAUCGAUGCGAGAACCAAGAGAUCCGUUGUUGAAAGUUUUGUGUUAAAAUAAAAACUCCUGAACUAGUAUACGUGUUUGUGUGUUGUGUGCGCUCACGCAGUGUGGAACAAUAAUCACAGUAAUGAUCCUUCCGCAGGUUCACCUACGGAAACCUUGUUACGACUUUUUUACUUCCAAAAUCGUGUUUCGGCACGAGUUGUAGAGUGUAGGCGGGAGUCUCUGUGGAGCGCGGUGUCCAAGUCCCUUGGAACAGGGUGCCUGAGAGGGUGAGAGCCCCGUGGGGUGCUGCGCGAAGCUUUGAGGCCCUGCUGACGAGUCGAGUUGUUUGGGAAUGCAGCUCUAAGCGGGUGGUAAAUUCCAUCUAAGGCUAAAUACUGGCGAGAGACCGAUAGCGAACAAGUACUGUGAAGGAAAGAUGAAAAGCACUUUGAAAAGAGAGUGAAACAGCACGUGAAAUUGUUGAAAGGGAAGGGUAUUGGGCCCGACAUGGGGAGUGCGCACCGCUGUCUCUUGUAGGCGGCGCUCUGGGCGCUCUCUGGGCCAGCAUCGGUUCUUGCUGCGAGAGAAGUGGCGCCGGAAAGUGGCUCUUCGGAGUGUUAUAGCCGGUGCCGGAUGUCGCGUGCGGGGACCGAGGGCUGCGACAUCUGUCUCGGAUGCUGGCACAACGGCGCAAUACCGCCCGUCUUGAACC
rnacentral:rRNA from 1 species